GUCGCCAGGGGUGUCCGGUGCCAUGCAUCGGGCUGAGAACACGCCAAGCCCAGGCUGGCCAAACCCUGGAACCUGAUCCGGAUCAUACCGGCGGAGGAAGCGCGACAU
rnacentral:ncRNA from 1 species